rnacentral:rRNA from 1 species
GGGGGGGGGGGGGGGGGGGGCGGGGAGGGGGAGGGCGGGGGGGCGGGGCGAGAGCGGGCGGGGGAGUCGUGAGCGGCGGACGGGGGAGGAACACGUGGGCAACCUGCCCGGUAGACGGGGAUAACACCGAGAAAUCGGGGCUAAUACCGGAUAACACGAAAGGUCGCAUGACGUUUGGUUGAAGGACGGCGCAGGCGGUGGCUCCAGGAGGGGCCCGCGGCGCAUUAGCAAGUUGGUGGGGUAACGGCUCACCAAGGCGCCGAUGCGUAGCCGACCUGAGAGGGUGAUCGGCCACACUGGGACUGAGACACGGCCCAGACUCCUCCGGGAGGCAGCAGUAGGGAAUCUUCCGCAAUGGACGAAAGUCUGACGGAGCAACGCCGCGUGAGCGAAGAAGGCCUUCGGGUCGUAAAGCUCUGUUGUUAGGGAAGAACAAGUAACGCAGUAACUGGCGUUACCGUGACGGUACCUAACGAGAAAGCCACGGCUAACUACGUG